UAAACAAGUUAAGUGUAGUGCAAUAUUCCAAAAAUUCUUGAGUAUAGCGUGUGAUAUUACAACGAGAACAAAUCUUUGGGCCCAAGUAAGCAAAGCGACUUAUAUAGGGCUUAUAGUCGUCUGCCAGAUGACUGGUGUGUGUGUAUGGGUGUGUUUGUGAUCUAAUAGAACAUAAGCCAAGUAAAUGCAAAAGUAAGCAGGACAUACUAUCUUGAAAAUCUAGUACAAUGUACUCUUUGGUCACCCCCGUACGUCGAUUACGAUAUAAGAUAUAACAAAAAUAAGGAUUAAAGCAAUGGCUAGUUGCAUUAGUUUGCAAUCAAAUAAUUGCAUAUUUCCGGUUAUUACACGACGGGAAACUUAUAACUGAUAAAGAGUAGUGCCAUAAAGUGUUAAAAUGUAUUUGAAAAUUUCAUUUGAUUUUGUAAAAACUGAAGGUAAACAACAACAUAACCUCAAAAAAUUGGCGACGUUGACGAAACAAAAAAUGUCAGUGUCUUCUAGCGUCUUUAAUAAACCACAUGAUCUUGGUUUCUAUGGUGAAGAAUU